AAGUCGUAACAAGGUUUCCGUAGGUGAACCUGCGGAAGGAUCAUUAAUGAAUCUAGGGUACGCUUCUGCAAAGAAGCUGCCCGAAAAAUCAUUAUUUUUUCACACCUGUGCAUUUGAAAACCUUUUUAACACUUGUGUUGAUUGAAAGUCGAUUGAUAUUUAUUAAAACGAAAGUAAAACUUUCAGCAAUGGAUCUCUUGGCUCUC
rnacentral:misc_RNA from 1 species